rnacentral:lncRNA from 1 species
AAAAGGAAGAAGAGGGGCCUGAGCCAAGCAUGACCAUUUCUUCUUUCAAACUCCUGGUCAGUUAACUCACCACUUUUCAGGAGGCAAGUGCUGGGGUGAUCAAUGAAUGAGGAGGGGGAAGAAAACCACAGUACCCCAUGGAUUUACUAUUGUGGGAAAUGAGUAGGUGCUUCUAAUGACAACCUAUGGGUUGUGCAGUUCUGGAGCCAGAGAAAUAGAUUCUUUGCCAUCUGAAUGUUCCUCUUGGCAAAUGGAAGCCCAGAGCACUGGUCCAGGUGAGGUUCUAGAAUAGGGAGAGUAAGAAGUGCUGGACCAUGGCUGUGGCAUUUAGAGCCAUGAGAUUGAGAGAGUCCAGAUGGAAAAGAAGACUUGGGAAAGAAUAUGAGCAUAAAAUGUCUCCAUGGAUACAGGCCACAGGAACAGCAGGGAAGAUCCAGAGGGUUCUGGAGGGCGAGGAGGAGCAGGAUGGAGCCUGUUACCAGAAGUACUUGAAACCUCUUACUGAGACCCUUCAACCUCUCCUCUGAGGAGCUGUCAAGGGGAAGAGGACAGCAUCUGUUUUUAUAACUUCCAAGUGAACAUAGUCCUCUAUUUUACACCUAAUAGGUGCUCAUUAAAUUAUUUGGUAGUUGAAUUGAAGAGACUCUUCUAAAAAUUAGUAAAGCAAAGAAAAGUAGGCAAAAAAUGAAUAAUCCAUAGGCUUAACCCUUCUAAGGAAUGUAUGUAGUUUAAAAGAGGAUCUGGUUGUAGUAAAUUCAUGUGUAACUGAUAGAAUAUGCAGACAUGUUUGGACUCAAAGGUCUUAUGAGAAGUUUGAAUUUCUUCCCAACAUACACACAUUCCCUAGAAGUCCAAGGUUAGCAAUUUGGUGCCAUACUUAGUCAAAUCCCUUCCAUUGUUUGAAUUUUAUGGCUUCUUCUAGGGAAGAUCAGCUUUCCUCUCAUUUUUGGCAUUGGUCUGCAUAUUAAGAUCUAUAGAUCUUAUUAGGUCUUAGAAAUACAUAUUCAUGACAGCAAUUCCUAUCUGGAGGAUUUAUUAGGAUAUUUAAUGUUUGCCAUAGUAAUAGAGAUUAAAAGUAGGGCCACCACCUCAAAACUCAAAUCUCCUUACAGAAUUAUAGAAUUCACAUACAUCACAGAAUCCACAUAAAUUGCAGAAUAACUGCCAUAUAUGACAAUUGUGAAGCCAAUGGAAUGUGAUGCAGUGAAGUUAGAUUUUAUGUUUAUUUUGCCUUUUUAUCAAGUAAGUGGAGAGUUGCUGAUGUCAGGAAAGUUUCUAAUUGAGAAUCCCUAAUGCACAGUGUCCUGAUGAGUGGCGACCUUCUCAGCGAGGACUGACAACCACACGGGUUCCUACUUCAUGACCAGACCAGGGUCACCAUGGAGACAUUUCUCAUUGGAUCAGCUUAUUAUGCCAUAGGAAACAUCUGAUUGAAAUGGAACUCACUGACCUAAAGCUCCUAAAAAAAAAUUUUCUAGGUCAGUGACAGACAAGUUGGCUGCUUCAAAAAAGGUAUUUACUGUAAUUCUGGAGAUCAUAUUGGGUCGCAAACUUGCUGCCUGUGAGUGCAAUCCAGCCCACAGGUUCAUUCUGUGUGACAGGCACUGUGUUUAAAAGGUAAGAAUUGGAGGGCCUUUAGGUGGGAAGUGCCCUCUCCAGUUUACAGCGAGCCUCAUCAUUUCCUAUUGUCCUAGACUUAGCCGCAUGACACAUUACAUGUCACCUGCCAGGCCUCUAAAAACGUGAAAAUCAUGACCUUCAGGCAUUCUGUUCAUGGUCCAUCCAUGUGCCCUGUGCCCUAGGUUUGACUUGAGGUUUCUCACCGAUGCUUCCCACAGCUGGGCCUUGUUCCUCACAAAGAGUUUCUGGUGAAACCAGAGUCAUAAAGACUGGAUUAAGAGGAAAGUCCAAGGAAUCCCAGGAUCUAAGAGCUUGCAGGAAAACUUAAGAAUUUGGGAUCCUGCAACCCCUGAUGAGCAACCUGAGACACAGAAAAGGGAAAUGCCUUGGAAAGGUCAGCCCCAGAAGGAAGAGAGCAGAGAGGGAAACCCAGGACUAGUGAUUCCCCAUCCUGUAUGCUUCACCCACCACCCCACGCAGCUGGCCUGAAUGAUUGGUGUAGCCCUUCCCCACAUUCCUAGAGAGUGUGUCUUUUACAAAGCCACCGUCCACACAUACAGAGUGGCACCAGCUAUGCAACCAACCCCUCUUACACUAGACCGCUGUGUCUGGUGACUUGAAAGUCAAGGCCAAUGUGGUCACACUAAGGCCACUAAGUCUUAAAGAAAAGUACUUCUCUAUCAUUGGCAGAGAACUUUAGGCUGGAGACAGAUUAAAGUUUAAAACAAAUCCAAGGAGUCAACUUUGUAGACAACACAGGUUAUUUAAGCCUCUGUUCCUUCUUUGUUAGAGUACACUGAAACUUUUCUUCAGAGCUGACCCUGGAAGUAGGCAGAAAGGUUGCUGUCUCUUUAAGUUGCCUUAAACUACCUCAGGAGAGCUUCCAUCAGCCAAAAAUCCCCUUGUAGAGCAGCCCUUCCAUUCUCAACCAAGGCAAAAAUACUUGAAAUUCAGUUAAUAGCAAUUCAUUCAUAUGAGCUAAAUGUUGCCCCCUUGA